CACACGCCCACACACAACCACACCGAGGCCAGCUUGUGUCCGAAGCUGAUCCAAAACCUCGAUCAGUACCUGGAAGCCCCUGAGUGUGCGGUAGUGCGAGUCCAGCAUCAGCAUGGCCAGAGAGAAGCAAAACAGAUUCUAUAAGGCGGCAGAGUGCCAGUGAAGUUCUUCUAUGGUGGGGUAGACCACCUCCUUCAGCUUGCGCAGAGGCUCCCGCAUCAAAUGGAUGUUGGGAAUCUCCAGGAAAUUCAGUUCCGCAUUGGGAUGGAAAAUUUCGCUCUCAUGGCCACCAUCUUUAGCCUGGAGGGGAAAAGAGAGGAGAGAAGAGAAUGUGAUGCUCGAAUAAACUCACCACUACAACAUGUCACAUUAUUAUACAUAAAUCCCGUGCUAACUCGAUACAUGCACAAACCCCAAAACAGCUGAUAUUUGUUACUCCCUAAUUAUUUUAUUGCUGGGUUUGUCGGGCUACUCGUUGGUGGUAUGAGGCUUGAAUCAACUGAGAUAAUGACAUCAGUGCAUCAUCACCUCAUGUUAUCAUUGUAGCCCUUCUUACAGAUACAGUCACAUGUUUUCAGUAUGUCUUUCUUACACUGCAGUGAAUAAGGUGCCACUUUUUGUUUUUCAGAUGGAGGUUCGGACAUCUGUGAAUCAUUCUGUGAGGAUGGGAGUUCACAUGUAGAUGAACAUAGAUGGAUUAAUGGAACAUCAUUACGUCACCGCGCCACGCUGUCCGACGUCCCUCCAGAAUUUCACGUAUCAACAUGCAGUUGGUCUUUGUUAUGAUAUCAGCGGGGACAACCGAUAGAGACAGGUGCUCAUUGAGGCCUAAGAAGGGAGUCAAGGUCAAGACACACAAGCCUGUGUGAAACCUUUUUUGUAAAAGAAACCUUGUCCUCAUGAAACCUUUUCAAGAAAAACAACUAACUGUGCAUGUUCCACAAAUUUAAGAUAACGCAUAGACAUGAAUAUUUAAUUGUGGCAAAAGAAGAUUGGUCUAUUUUCAACGAGGAAAAGCAAAACCCCACCUACAGAGACUAUGCUGUGGAGAUAGGUAUAUAAAGACAUGUUUGUGUAUGCAUAAUUCGGACACUCUGCAGACUUUAUUAUUAUUAUAUAUUAUUCACACUUUAUUGAUUUUCAAUAAAGUUUAUUUACUUUUUGACAUCUACUAAACUUAAUUGGUGAACCCGACGUGAUUUUCUAGGAGCCUAGAGGGAGACUCGAGCCGGCGAGGCUGACCCUGGAGAAGCUGUGCAAGCCUGGCCGCUCAUUUUAAAGAUAAGCAGUCUUCCACUUUUUUGGAUAAAUACUUGCGUGGUUUUCCUGCGGGUCAGCCUGAGACGGUGUUUUUUCCCCUCACAAAAUCUUCUUCAAAUUAUGAACUAAAUUGAGAAAAGAGGGUUUUUUGGAUCUCACAAAUUCAAACUGCAUGCAGAAUAUAUGUGCAUAUUGUAGUGUGUUUUGUCUUAAGCAGGGUGUUUGCAAGCCUGCAGUGUCCAGGUGUAAUAAGAAGUCAGAUUGAAUACUGAGGAGUAUGGAUUUCUAACAGUGUUAUACGGUGAACUUGCUAAACUGCUGUACGGGCAGAUGUGUCUUAGUCGGAGUGAAGUGGUUGACACUGUACACUGUGCCGAGAGUGUUUAAGAAGUGUUUAAAAGUUCUAGGGAGAAUUCAGUGUUAAGACGUUCAAGAGAGUGAACGCAAUUGGGCCCAAUAAACACCCGGUCGGGUCACGCAAGAGGCGUGUUGAAGCGGGAUAAGGGUGUAGGUCUUGUAUUGUCUAUAUGUUAUUUGUGCUGAAUAUAUUUGCUAUGCUGGUUACUUGUGCUGAAUGCUGGUUGUAUCUGCUAUGCUGGUUAUUCGUGCUGAAUGCUGGCUGUUUCAGUUAUAUGCUCAGAAACAGCAGAUAUAUGUUAUAUCUGCUGAAUGCUGGUACUGAUGGAUGUUUGAGAGUUUUAUAGGUUCUGAAUGUUGGUUUAAGCAUUUUUUCUUUUCCUUUUUCUUUUGUGGAGUCGACUCUUGUUUUAAUUCUAUUAUAUUUUUUACAUUAUUAUUUUAUUUUUACAUUAUUCUUUUGUUGAGUGCUGUGGCGGUGUUCAAUUGUUGAGCUCUCCCCGCUGAGUGAGUGCUGGAAAUGAGUGGGGUGUCCAUGCCAAGCGGGAUUCCACUUGGGUGAGGGACAACAUUCCGGGAGCCUUACAUUAGGAAGAUAUCACUCUGCUAUUACUAGAAUAAAGUGUGUAUAUGAACUCCAUACAUAAGGAGACAUGUGUGUUUGAUGAGCUCUGAAAAUUACUUUUGGAGACAAGUGUGAAUAAAGGCCUGUGUGUGUUUGUGUGUGUGUGUGUGUGUGUGUGUUCUUAUCUGCGCAGGCAGGCCUGCUUCGGUGUGAAAAAAACAGUGUGUGUGAUCUUCAGAUUGAGAUGAGUAAAACAGAAUUUUGAGAUAUUUCUGCUUUUUCAUUGAAGGUUUGAAUCUUGUACAGACUGUGGGGUGUGAGUCCGAUGGGACUGUUUGUAUUAUAAUAAUUACUUUAUCAAUAACUGCUGUGAGUGUUUCAAAAAUUGUGGAGCCAUCAAGAACUUGGCACUGUAAAUAUUUUAGACAUCUGCCAGAUUGCCCAUUGUGUAAAUCACUUUUAGACCUGUAAAAUAUAAAAAUAUUCCCAGAUUGUGUGAUUCAGAAAAGGAGAAGGGGUACGUUACAUGACGAUUUACUGAAGAUGGAAAAGUUUCUCCAGUUGCUUAGAGUCUCGGUAGUUGGACAUGGAAAAUGAUUUACUGUCAUGAGGAAUUGUGAAAACUCAUGCUUGUCAAGCAUGGGUUUGGCUUAUUUUAAUUUUUAAUUGUGGAGAUGGAUUUUUCUGUUUUCAAUCCCAUAUUUAGCCUUUCGUGUGCUCGUUUAUUUAAAAUACUGAAAAUAAAUAAAUAAAUAAAUAACAAUAAUAAUAGAAAUUUGCAUUUUGAAAACUGUUUUGAAAAGUGUGCAUUUUCAGGCCCCAAAACGCCGUGGUUGUGUAAACUGCCCCUAAGCCUCUGUUGAGAAAUGAAUAAAUCAGACGCUCAGAAUGUGGAAGGAGAGAGUACAUUUGGACCUUUCAUUUAUAUCUUAUAAAGUAAGUGAUAAUAAAGGGUUUCUCUUUUUAUGACGUGUGAGCAGAGUAAUAAAAAGGAAUAUUUUUUGGCAGGCCUAAAAGGAGGUCUUACCCAUAUUAUAGAAUACAUGCCCAAGUUGUGUUAGUGACGUGUCGUUUGUGAAUGAGUCAGCUCUAUGAAUCGUCUCCCGUUUUAGUUAUUUUUGUGAAUUAAUACAAGACAGAAUAAUAGGAUGAUCUUUUAGCCACACUCCACGGACACACACACUCCAUGCACUAACUGAAUGUUGUGUUGAUGUACGUGUGCGGGUGAUAAAUCACGUGUGAUAACAUUAUAUUUUGUCAUUCACACAUAUAGCCUUCUAGCUCCAUUGUAGUUAGUUUGCUCUUUGAGCAGAAUUAGCAGCCUUUGGACUGUGGAUAGUUCUAUGAGAGGGAUAAAAGUAGUAGAUGCAGAGUGUUUCUUUUUUGUCUAUUGCUCAUUUCAUUCAGUGCUUUUAUGUCUAUAAAACCUGCACAGAGGCUAGAUAUGAUAUUUGUAGUGUAAAUUACACCAGAUUCUAGUUACUAUUGUUAUACAACUUGAAGUUACUAAUUUUUCCUGGUUUAAAAUGCUGUAUUCUACUGGAGAAAAUCAAAUUGGAGCAACGUAAUUUUAAAAAUGAUUGUCAACUUAAAAACUUGUGUUCAUAAUCAUGGUAAUUAAGUACAUAACACUUAAAUUCCUUUUAAAUAAUGUGAAAAAACUAGUUGGAACAACUUGAUUUUUAGGAAUAAUCAAUUUAAAAAACUUGUGUUUAUUAUACAGAUUAUUAAAUAAGUUUUAAUUUAAAAUAAAUUUGAUCGUAGAGGAAAAGGUAUUUCUCUAGCUCAGUGUAGUUCGUUGGUUGAAAUGAAUUUAAAGUUCUCAUAACCCAAAAUGAUUGAUGUUUUGCAAACUGUUGCGUUAAUGUUUUGUUGAGCCUGAACAUUUGUUUUUAGAGAGUACUGACAACCUGACAGCCGUAUUAGACCUGUUGUCCAGCAGUGCAGUGAGUGUGAUCUGUUUGGAAUGGUUUGAGUUUUGGAUAGAUCAAGCUAAAUAAAACACUUAAUACACAUGGGUAAUAAUGUUUGGUGUUUUUACAUUAUUUAAGGUUUUAUGCGAAACAUAAUCCAAAAUGAUGUACAAUUAAAGGUUAGUAUAAUUAGCCUACACUGAACAAGUUAAGUGAUAUAUGUGCACACAUACUAAUCAUAGGUCUUUUGCUAACUUUGGCUGAAUUAUAAAAGCCAUUAGUCAUAUUGAAUGAAGAGCCUUUUGGGAGCUUAUUGCUGAACUGAGUCAAAUGAACUGACUCACUAGAAAGAGCUGGAAUAACCAUCACUAAUUUGUGUAUCUUUGAUUCUUAUACAAGUAUGUGUCUAUAAAUCUUUAUGUGCCCUGAUGUUGCCAUGCCAAUUGGCCAC